UACAGGGGGGGGCAAGCGUUGUUCGGAAUUACUGGGCGUAAAGGGCUUGUAGGUGGCCAACUAAGUCACACGUGAAAUCCCCAGGCUUAACCUGGGAACUGCGUCUGAUACUACAAGGCUUGAGUGCGGGAGAGGGAUGUGGAAUUCCCAGUGUAGAGGUGAAAUUCGUAGAUAUUCGCAAGAACACCAGUGGCGAAGGCGGCUCACUGGCCCGAUACUGACGCUGAGGCACGAAAGCGUGGGGAGCAAACAGG
rnacentral:rRNA from 1 species